CAAUGUAGCAGAACGUUCCUCUACGUCACAAAAUUGAGACCAACUCUGGGAUCGACCUAGUCGUCUGUGGUUUUAUGCAACAGUUAAAGCUGCUGAAAUUACGAAUGUAUAAUGGAUCUGUACUUCUGUGACAAAACAGGGAAUAACAAUACUUACAGACAGGUCAGCUCAUGCUGACAGGAGUCAGGGUGUGACGCUGCCAGUGAUGAAGACACCCAUUAAUAACAGGCAAAACCGAAGGUCGCUGUCGAAUGGAUACACCCCUGCUUCAGGAGAACUUAUGGAGCGGGACAAGAAGCAGGAGUGAAAAUUUUAC